rnacentral:rRNA from 1 species
CAGUCGCCGCGGUAAUACGUAGGGUGCAAGCGUUAAUCGGAAUUACUGGGCGUAAAGCGUGCGCAGGCGGUUAUAUAAGACAGAUGUGAAAUCCCCGGGCUCAACCUGGGAACUGCAUUUGUGACUGUAUAGCUAGAGUACGGCAGAGGGGGAUGGAAUUCCGCGUGUAGCAGUGAAAUGCGUAGAUAUGCGGAGGAACACCGAUGGCGAAGGCAAUCCCCUGGGCCUGUACUGACGCUCAUGCACGAAAGCGUUGGGAGCAAACAGGAUUAGAUACCCCAGUAGUCCCUGUCUCUUAUAA